rnacentral:rRNA from 1 species
GACGUAGGGCGCGAGCGUUAUUCGGAAUUAUUGGGCGUAAAGGGCGCGUAGGCGGCUAGAUGUGUCAAAGGUGAAAUCCCUCGGCUCAACUGAGGAACUGCCUUUGAAACUGUCUGGCUUGAGGCCGGGAGAGGGUAGCGGAAUUCCCAGUGUAGCGGUGAAAUGCGUAGAUAUUGGGAGGAACACCAGUGGCGAAGGCGGCUACCUGGACCGGUUCUGACGCUGAGGCGCGAAAGCGUGGAUAGCAAACAGG